UACGAAGGGGGCUAGCGUUGUUCGGAAUUACUGGGCGUAAAGCGUGCGCAGGCGGUUUGUUAAGACAGAUGUGAAAUCCCCGGGCUUAACCUGGGAACUGCAUUUGUGACUGGCAAGCUAGAGUAUGGCAGAGGGGGGUAGAAUUCCACGUGUAGCAGUGAAAUGCGUAGAGAUGUGGAGGAAUACCGAUGGCGAAGGCAGCCCCCUGGGCCAAUACUGACGCUCAUGCCACGAAAGCGUGGGGAGCAAACAGGG
rnacentral:rRNA from 1 species